rnacentral:rRNA from 1 species
CCUACGGGAGGCAGCAGUAAGGAAUAUUGGACAAUGCCCGAAACGCUGAUCCAGCCAUGCCGCGUGCAUGAUGACGGCCCUAUGGGUUGUAAACUGCUUCUCCGCCGAAGAAAACCCCUUUUCCCGAGAAAGGAUGACCCGGUGGCGUCAAUGACCACUCCCCUAACUUCACGCCAGGCGGCCUCCGUUGAUCCAAGUAUGUGGCGUUAUCCGGAUUCUAUUGCGUAUCAACGGAUCGUAGGUGAACUGACUGGUCUCAUGCCCGAAAUCUCUGGGUCUUAUACCGGAAAUUGCCAUUACUGCUGAUGCUCUUGAAAUGCCUUGCGUGUGGGCGAAAUAUCGACAUGUUUCGCCGAAACACCUAUAGAUGUCGUAAAUCGCCGAUCGCUAUCGCGACUCAAGGAGCUGUAACUGACACUGACGCUCGGAUGUGCUGCCAUGAAACACGACUACAUACCCUGGGAGUCCUCACCGUCAACGAUGAUGACCCGCUGCUACAUGGCUACACUUUAUUGGCUCACCGCCUGCGAUAAACAGUCCACCUGGUGAGUACCCCAUCAACUGUCAGACUCACAUGAUCUGACAC